UAGAAGUGUGCUCUGUUUCAGCUGACACUGGAUGUUUGUUCCUUUAUUCCUUCCCUGACGAGGCCAAGCAGCCCUGUCUUCAGGACGCCUGGCCCUCUGGCUGGUUCAACUUCCUUCCUCUGUCCAUCUCCGCCUUCACCUAGUAUAAAGUCGACCAGAGAAGCCAAGAAAGGCCCCAUGGAUGUGGACCUGUUCUCAUCGGAUGGAUCUGUAUGCAGUCUUGUCCCUACCUGCUAGUGGAACGGCCUGCUCACAGGCCAGGGUCUCUGCAGAGCCUUCACCAAUCUAUUUCAUAUGUGUGGAUUCUUGAACAGUGGAGGACAGUUGUGGGCUAGCCUCUGGAGUGUCUGUCCCAGGGAACUCAGGCAGCGGGCUUGGAAAGAAGGUGCUGGAGCCAAGCCUGGGAUUCCUUAUGUAUGCUCCUCUAUAACAGGAGCACGUCUCCUCGGGCAGCUGGAGUCGCUGGGGAAGCAGGUAUUUAGGAAAACUGGGCCCAACAAGCCUAUGGCUACAGAAACUCAGUGGGUAUCUACACUUCCACCCCACACUCUUUGUGACCAUCCUUGCCUGUGCAUGUUUAAGAGUAAGCCUGGCGGUCAGUUAUGAUGCUGUACUCAGCUUUAAUCGCCUCCUCCCCCACCUCCAGCCUCUGUACUUCACGCUGCAUGUUCCUGAUCUAACCACAUCUGGGUAUAAACCCGCUGCGAUGUUUUUCCUGAAAUGGAUGUCUCCUUUUAAGAACUUAACUGUAUACUUUAAGAAGAACUUUAAGUGGGAAGCCAGAGUCGUUCAUCACAGAAAUGAUCUGGAACACACCACAGUGAGAAGGAACUGCUUUUGCUGCUGGCCUGGGACUCGCGUGUCUGCAGAAGGGCCAGAUGAAAUGGCCUUUAUGAACAGCGGCUGGUCAGCCCUCACGGAGCCUUAGCGUUAGGGGCAGCUCUCAAGGUUCAGUGCCCGGCGCGCCUCUCCUCACCCAGUGUGACUGACUGCAGGAAAGUUCUGCUAGUUCAUUUAGGCUUUUGAUAUAAUGUGUAUUUUGGGACUGAAGAGCCACAUCUUCCCAAGAAGAUAAGAACCUCUGCUUGCUUUAAUGCCAGGGACAGUGGGACAAAGACAGAGCGGGCAAUUACAAGCACCUCUUCCUUCCUACCUACAACCUACAGAAAACCCCAGUUCUGCCUUCCUGGUUCUACUUCCCACCCUUCAGGCCCACGGUGCCUAACACACGUGACGCUUUUCAGACCCCUUUGGAAAGUGCAGUAUGAGGUUGGCUCCAUGGUAGUAUUGGAAGGAAGGGAAGACUGGCCCUCCCCUGGCCUUGGGGUUCCUGGGUCCUCCCAGGGCCCCCUCCCCAACUCCACUAGGUGCGAUACCUUCCCUGUGAUUCCCCCACUGUGGGCCUGUCUGGGCUACUGCUCUGUCCCCACCCCCCAACUGCCAGUUGUACUUGCUUCAAAGCAGGUGCUCUGUGAAAAGAUUUGCAGAACAGAUGGAUGGAUAGAUGGACCAAUACCAAAGGAUGUCUGCACAGAGCUCGAGGCUUCCCAGCGCGCUUCCUUUGGAGCGCAUUACCUAAUGUGACCUCGCUUAGGAGCCUGUGGUGGAGGGGUUGCACGCGGAUAGUCUGAUAGUCCGAAUGGAGCUCAAGCCCCGAGGUCUCCUCUGGCCCCGGGACAUGCCUGAGUUGUUCAGCGACUUGAUUCUGGCAAGGUUCCAGGGUCUCUCUAUCUGUCCCCGACCUUGUGGCUCCUGUUUUCCAUAUCCCUCCUUAGAUGGACGCCUCACCUGUCCUUUCUGACUAGGAGACCUGUCCGACAAAGACCCCAAACUUAGAAGUUUCUAGUUCCUUCUUCCGUGUGGGGCAAAAGUCGUCCUCCUGAAGCCUCCACCCUCUCUCUCUCUCCCACAGUCUAGCCCUCCCUGCCUGCCGCAGCUACAUGUUUACUACAUACUCCACACAGGGCUGUCUAGCCCUCCCUGCCUGCCGCAGCUACAUGUUUACUACAUACUCCACACAGGGCUGCGUUUCAACCCCGUGUCCUCCUCUCCCUGGUUUCUGGCUCUCAGGCCAUGAUUCUCUAGCCCUUAGGCAGUCUCUUCCUCCUGAUCUCUGUUCCAGCCUUCAUUUCAUACUCUCUUCUUAGUCCCUGGGCCCUAGACCUGCGUUCUCUGCCCACAGCCUUAUUCUACUCUCUCCUCCUGCUCCUUGCCUGUGACCCCUCUCCCAGGGCACCAGCCUUCCUGUUUCCUCUUCUCCUGGUCCUUGCCUACCCACCUCUUACUGGUUCCUGAACCUCCCUCCCAUUUUUCAUGCCCAGAGCCAUCUCCUUCCUUCGGCUUGCCCCUAGCCUCUCCUACAGAGUCUGACAACUUUCAAGAACCCUUUGCCUCUCCUGCCUUGGAGAAAUGGGCCUUCAGGUUGACCUUUCCUGGGAGCUGGUAUAUAUUAUCACCAAGCAGCCACCACCCACCCUCCGCACUCCCGUCUGUCUCUGUGACUUCGUGCCUUCUGUAGAUCAUGGGCCACAUCUUCUCAAGUAGAAGGACAUCCCCUAUUCGAAUAAACAAGCGAAACCACCAGUAACUGAGGAGACCAACUCUAAACGUAAUAAAUGAUUACAGAUGCAUUUCUGAUACCCAUUCAUCACCAAGCGCCGCUAUCAGAGAUGGGGCCGUUGGCUUGCAGCUUUAAUGAGAAGCCGAUUUACACAAGAGUGUGAAGAGCGCUUUAGAUGCUUCCUCGUCAGUCACAGACAGAAGCACAUCUGGGCUGGACAGGCUGAGGCCAGACCUCCUGCAGCUGCCCGGAGCAUCCUAGCCUAGCCACAGCAUGCACACCUCGUGUGACACCCAGCAUGCUUUCGCCAGUGCCAGUGUGGUGCGAAAGUAGCUGCUAUUGCUCCCUGUGCCAGGACAAACUCUACCCAUACCAAACCAAGCUACGCCAGGCUUUUGAGGACUUACAAGUCAGCCGCUGUGAUUUCUACGGACGCCCCCCUCGACACCCAUCCUCUGCCCGUUUGUGGAAUAUCCAAGGAUGUGAUCAUAGGAAGGACGGCUGGCGUAAACACACUUGGGACAAACACAGCUGACUCGCGGGUGGGAGAGCAGGUGCUGGGUGGUGCUGGAGGACUUCUGUCCCAGGAGCCACCGCGACCACAAGGCCAGUAUGAUGUGUUUCACAGGGAGAACGGAGAACUCCCUUACUCCCAGGGAGCGGACUGACUGGGGGAAGGAGAGUUCUGCUCACCAGGCUUGGGAAUGGCUUUGGAUUUCAUUUUUCACAAACCCUGCAAAUGUCUGAAACUAUGACAGAAUAUGUAGGGCAUUACAGACUUGGCUUAGGAAAACA